rnacentral:rRNA from 1 species
UACGUAGGGGGCAAGCGUUGUCCGGAUUUAUUGGGCGUAAAGCGCACGCAGGCGGUCUUUUACGUUUUGAGUGACAGGUGGUGGCUUAACUGCCACAGGCCUCGAAAUACGGGAAGACUUGAGGACUUCAGAGGGAUGCGGAAUUCCAGGUGGAGCGGUGAAAUGCGUAGAGAUCUGGAAGAACACCAAAGGCGAAGGCAGCAUCCUGGGAAGGCACUGACGCUGAUGUGCGAAAGCGUGGGGAGCGAACAGG